UUGCUACUCCCUCCGUUUGAAAAUAUUUGUUAUCAAAAUAGAUAAAAAAAAAUGUAUCUAGAACUAAAAUACAUCUAGAUAUAUUCUCUUUUAUCUAGUUUGAUGACAAGUAUUUUCGGAUGGAGGGAGUACUAC
rfam:Triticum aestivum genome assembly, contig: Triticum_aestivum_CS42_TGACv1_scaffold_320491_4BL